rnacentral:rRNA from 1 species
GAUGAACGCUGGCGGCGUGCUUAACACAUGCAAGUCGAACGAAGCACUUUAUUUGAUUUCCUUCGGGACUGAUUAUUUUGUGACUGAGUGGCGGACGGGUGAGUAACGCGUGGGUAACCUGCCUUGUACAGGGGGAUAACAGUUGGAAACGGCUGCUAAUACCGCAUAAGCGCACAGCAUCGCAUGAUGCAGUGUGAAAACCUCCGGUGGUAUAAGAUGGACCCGCGUUGGAUUAGCUAGUUGGUGAGGUAACGGCCCACCAAGGCGACGUUCCAUAGCCGACCUGAGAGGGUGACCGGCCACAUUGGGACUGAGACACGGCCCAAACUCCUACGGGAGGCAGCAGUGGGGAAUAUUGCACAAUGGGCGAAAGCCUGAUGCAGCGACGCCGCGUGAGCGAAGAAGUAUUUCGGUAUGUAAAGCUCUAUCAGCAGGGAAGAUAAUGACGGUACCUGACUAAGAAGCACCGGCUAAAUACGUG